GCACUUUGGUUUUGUUUUCGGAUCAGAUUUUUUUUUUAUACGGUUUCGAUUCGAUUUGAAUCGGUUAAACCGGAUUUGCUUCGUUUCAUAAAAAUUAGGAGAUAAAUUCGUGCUUUUGCCUUCUUGUUUCGUUGCACAAAAAAAAAAAGAUUUGAAAAAUCCUUUGCAUGUCACUCUACCUCUCGUUCGUCAUCGUUAUGCGUUACAGCACAAUUCUACGACGGGGAUCCGGAUUCACGUUCGUCUCGUCGGAACGGAUGUGAGCGUUUUUUUCAUCGGAUUCAGUCGUUAUUCGAUUGAUAUGGUCCUUCAUGAGAUACGCCCACCACAUGUUCGACGAAAUUCCUAAACCAGCUUUCUUGGCGCACAUUUAUGUAAUAGAAUCCAAUUGUUAUGUGAGCUGUUUGGAGAACCUAAU